rnacentral:rRNA from 1 species
CCCUUAGAUGUUCUGGGCCGCACGCGCGAUACACUGAUGCAUUCAACGAGCCUAUCCUUGACCGACAGGUCCGGGUAAUCUUUGAAUCUGCAUCGUGACGGGGAUAGAUUAUUGCAAUUAUUAAUCUUCAACGAGGAAUGCCUAGUAGGCGCAAGUCAUCAGCUUGCGUCGAUUACGUCCCUGCCCUUUGUACACACCGCCCGUCGCUCCUACCGAUUGGGUGUGCUGGUGAAAUGUUCGGAUCGGCCGUUUGUCGCGGUUUCCGCGUCAUGUGGCUGAGAAGUUCAUUAAACCCUCCCACCUAGAGGAAGGAGAAGUCGUAACA